rnacentral:rRNA from 1 species
GAUGAACGCUAGCGAUAGGCUUAACACAUGCAAGUCGAGGGGUAACGUGUUGGAAGCUUGCUUCCGAUGACGACGACCGGCGGAUGGGUGCGUAACGCGUAUGCAACUUGCCUCACAGUGGAGAAUAACCCGGAGAAAUCCGGACUAAUACUCCAUACACUCUUAAGUACGCCUGUACAUGAGAGGAAAGAUUUAUCGCUGUGAGAUAGGCAUGCGUCCUAUUAGGUAGUUGGUGAGGUAACGGCUCACCAAGCCGACGAUAGGUAGGGGUGCUGAGAGGCAGAUCCCCCACAUUGGGACUGAGACACGGCCCAAACUCCUACGGGAGGCAGCAGGGAGGAAUAUUGGUCAAUGGAGGAAACUCUGAACCAGCCAAGUCGCGUGAAGGAAGAAUGUCCUAAGGAUUGUAAACUUCUUUAGCGAGCGAGUAAGGACUUCCACGUGAUGGGAGUUUGAAAGUAGCUCGAGAAUAAGUAUCGGCUAACUCCGUG